AUUCAGCCGUCCCAUCGACUUGCUUGAUAGACCCUUCAGUGGAGCCGGCCUCCACGCCGAUUGUUUUCAGGGGACUGGGAAAUUUGCUGUACAUGAAACCAGGGAGGAAGCUCACCAGUGAAGAACUAUAAAGAUAUAUGACAUCUUCACUGACUCGGAGUUAGGUCUCACUUUUCCAGAAGUGACUGUUGGCCCUAACAAACCUGCGAGUGGAUUUGCGGAAGACGGUGGUGCACAGAGCGAGGGCACGUCAGACCUCCAGGAAGUGGUAACCUUGAAGGAGCGGAUGGAGAGGUACCAGGCAGCUGUUUCCAGGGGUGACUACCGCAGCUUCUCUGCCAAUAUGAUGGAAGAAUCUGGAAUGUGCACAGUGCCUGGUGGUUUGGCCAGAGUGAAGAAACAAUUUGAGAAGGACAAAUUUGCUUCUUCUUGUAAUACCUUGUCUCAGUACCAAUACCAGCACCACAACAGAUCUGAGCAGGAGGUAAUCCAUAGUAGCCAGGUCGACAUUUCAAGAAACAGCCAGGAGACGGAAAGAAAUGAACAAGAAGUUUCCAAAACACACAAAAGUGAUGUUCUUGGAACAGAAAUGGCCUCUCAUCUUAAAAAGCACACUGAGGAAAUAAGCCAAGCUUCUCAGCUCCAUCAGUAUGUUCAAGAAACAGUCAUUGAUACACCUGAGGACGAAGAGAUUCCGAAGGUUUCAACUAAGUUUUUAAAAGAGCACUUUGAAAAGUCUGCCCAGGAAAAGGUCCUUUAUUCUGACAAAGAGAUGACCCCAGCCAAGCAGAGUAAAAUUGGAAGUGAAUAUGAAGAGACUUUAAAAGCAUCAUCAGUUGUGGAUACCUCUUCCACUUCCUGCAUGUCGACCUGCCAGAGGAAGGAAACAUCAACCACAAAACAUAAUGACCACAGUGCCACUUCUUCAACUCUGGUACAAGUUAAUGCCACUGCUAUGGGAAAAACAGAAGAAUUUCCUCCUCCCCCACCUGAUAUAUUUCAAACUCCAAUAGAUAUGGCAGCAUUUUCCCAGUCCCCUGAAUUCCCCAACCCUCCUAGAAUACCACCAGUACCCAAAGAAUUAUAUUCUAAGCAAAGAAAUUUGUACGAAUUAAACCGUUUAUAUAAACACAUGCAUCCUGAGUUAAGGAAAAACUUAGAAAAAGAUUAUAUCAGUGAGGUUUCUGAAAUUGUCUCUAGUCAAGUGAACCCAGGGAGCUCAGUUUCAGCAGAUGUGCAACAAGUCCGGUAUGUUUUUGAAAAUACGAAUGACACUUCUCAAAAAGCUCUGAACUCAGAAAGAGAACACUUGGAGUGGGAUGAAAUUCUGAAGGGGGAGGUACAGUCCAUGAGAUGGAUCUUUGAGAACCAGCCUUUAGAUUCCAUCAAUAACGACUCUCCAGAUGAAAAUAAUAUCAACAAGGGCAUUGCUGAUCAAGAAAUCAUUGCUGGUGGUGAUGUGAAAUAUACCACAUGGAUGUUUGAAACCCAACCCAUAGAUACACUGAGGGAUCAUUCUUCUGGCACUGAAGAAAAUGCUGAGAAAAUUCCUGAGCUAGCCAGAGGAGAUGUCCGCACAGCCCGGUGGAUGUUUGAAACAACGCCAUUAGACUCAAUGAAUAAAAUGCAUCAGGAAGAAUCAGGGGUAACUGCUGUAAAGGACAUAACUGGUGGGGAUGUCAAGACUGUGAGAUAUAUGUUUGAAACUCAACAUCUGGAUCAGCUAGGACAGCUUCAUUCAGUGGAUGAAGUUCACUUAUUGCAACUCAGGUCUGAGCUCAAAGAAAUUAAGGGAAAUGUUAGGAGAAGUAUAAAAUGUUUUGAAACCCAACCAUUAUAUGUUAUUAGAGAUGGUUUAGGUCAAAUGCUAGAAAUUAAAACUGUUCACAGAGAAGAUGUUGAAAAGGGAGAUGUGAGAACAGCACGCUGGAUGUUUGAAACACAGCCCUUGGACACAAUUAACAAGGAUAUCACGGAAAUUAAAGUUGUCCGAGGAAUAUCCAUGGAAGAAAAUGUCAAAGGUGGGGUGAGUAGGGCAAAGUGGUUAUUUGAAACUCAACCUUUGGAGAAAAUCAAAGAAGAGUCAGAAGAGGUCAUCAUUGAAAAGGAGACAAUAAUAGGUACAGAUGUCUCCAGAAAGUGUUGGAUGUUUGAAACUCAGCCACUAGACAUUCUAAAAGAAGUUCCUGAUGCAGGUCCUCUAAGAUCUGAAGAGAUAAUAGGGGGUGAUGUACAAACUACUAAGCAUCUAUUUGAAACACUUCCAAUAGAGGCUUUAAAAGACAGCCCUGAUGUAGGAAAACUUCAAAAAAUUACUGCCUCUGAAGAAGAAAAGGGGGAUGUUAGGCACCAAAAAUGGAUUUUCGAAACCCAACCUCUGGAAGACAUUAGAGAAAAUAAAAAAGAGUACAUACGAACAGUGAAACUUGAAGAAGUUGAAAGAGGAGAUGUAAAGAAUUACACACAUAUCUUUGAAUCAAACAAUUUAAUUAAAUUUGAUGCAUCACAUAAAAUAGAGGUGGAAGGAGUCACCAGAGGUGCUGUAGAGUUAAACAAAUCACUCUUUGAAACAACACCACUAUAUGCCAUUCAAGAUCACCUUGGGAAAUAUCAUCAAGUCAAGACAGUCCAACAAGAAGAAAUCCUAAGAGGUGAUGUGAGAAGUUGUAGGUGGCUUUUUGAAACAAGGCCCAUUGACCAGUUUGAUGAAAGCAUUCAUAAAUUCCAGAUAAUCAGAGGAAUAUCUGCUCAAGAAAUACAGACCGGAAAUGUGAAAUCUGCUAAAUGGCUAUUUGAAACCCAACCUCUUGAUUCGAUUAAGUAUUUUAGUAAUGUGGAAGAAGGAGAAAGUAAAACUGAACAAGCGACAGACAUCAUUAAAGGGGAUGUCAAAACUUGCAGGUGGCUUUUUGAAACCCAACCAAUGGAGUCUCUUUAUGAAAAAGUUUCAUUAAUGACUGGCAGUGAAGAAAUUCACAAGGGAGAUGUCAAAGCCUGUACCUGGCUCUUUGAAACUAAGCCACUUGACACCAUAAAAGAUGACUCCGAAGCAACAGUCAAAUUGCAAACUGUAAAACAGGAAGAGAUCCAAGGUGGAGAUGUUCGUACAGCGUGUUUUCUUUUUGAGACAGAAAAUUUGGACAGCAUACAAGGAGAAGAAGGAAAAGAAAUUAAGGCCGUGGAAAUGGAUAUCCAAGCUGGGGAUGUCUCCAGCAUGCGGCAUAAAUUUGAAAAUCAAUCUUUAGAUUCUAUAAGUUCCAGUUCAGAGGAAGUUUUGAAAAAGAUCAAAGCCCUAAAGACUGAAGAUAUUCAGAAAGGUAAUGUUUUAAAUUGCAGGUGGCUUUUUGAAAACCAACCAAUUGAUAUGAUAAAAGAGAGCCAAGAAGGUGAUGAAUUAGUUAAGACAGUGACAGAUGUACAAGGUGGGGAUGUAAGAAAGGGGUGCUUUAUUUUUGAGACCUUUUCUUUAGACGAGAUUAAAGAAGAAUCUGACUGUCUCCGCACCAAGAAAACAAUUACUGAAGAAGUAAUGAAGGGUGACGUAAAAAGCUACAGAAUGCUCUUUGAAACCCAGCCACUCUAUGCAAUUCAAGACCGAGAAGGGUAUUACCAUGAAGUGACAACAGUUAAAAAGGAAGAAGUAAUUCAUGGAGAUGUACGAGGAACUAGGUGGCUUUUUGAAACAAAACCACUAGACUCAAUUAAUCAGUCAGAGACUGUGUAUGUUAUUAAGUCUGUCACACAGGAAGACAUUCAGAAGGGAGAUGUUAGUUCUGUCAGAUACAAAUUUGAAACCCAGCCGCUGGAUCAGAUUUCAGAAGAAUCACAUGAUGCUAUGUCCACUGUGGACCACAUUCAAGGUGGGGAUGUAAAGACAAGUAAACAGUUUUUUGAGUCUGAAAAUUGUGGUAAGAAUACUUAUAUAAGAACAGUAAGUGUCAACGAAAUACAAAAGGGCAAUGUUAAAACAUCUACUUGGCUAUUUGAAACCCAUACCCUAGAUGAGCUGAGAGGAGAAGGGUCAGAAUUUGAACAUAUCAAAACGGUCAUACAGGAAGAUACGCAGAAAGGUGAUGUUAAGCAGGCAGUGUGGCUUUUUGAAAAUCAAACUUUGGAUUCUAUUAAGGAAGCAGAUGAAAACACCACAAAAAUUAUCAAGGAGGAAAUCCCCCCCUCUGAUGUCAAGACAACUACAUGGCUCUUUGAAACUACACCCCUUCAUGAAUUUAAUGAAAGUAGGGUAGAGAAGGUAGAAAUUAUUGGCAAGAGCAUUAAGGAAACGUUAGAAGAACUCUACUCUCAAAAAGUUAUUGCGGCUCCUGGAAUCAUCAUUGAAGCUGAUGAAGUUGGGGAUGUUCGAAUGGCAAAAUACAAGCUAAUGAAUCAAGCAUCUCCCGAGAUACAGAAAGAAGACAUUAUCAGGGUUGAUCUUAGAAAUAUAAUGGUGAACCUGCUUUCCAAAAGAGACUGUACAAAAAAGGAAAUUUGGGUUAGUGAAGAAGAGAAGGGAAAUGUUAAUUUGACCAAAACUCAAUUAUUAAACAGAUCAACGGAAUUUCAUGCUGAAAAAGAAGAAAUAGUGAGUGGUGAUGUACAACAAGCAAUAAAAAACCUGUUCUCCGAAGAAAGAUCCAUAAAGAAAGGCAUUUUAAUUCAGGAAGAUGAAAGAGGAGAUAUUAAUAUGACUAUCUAUUGUCUUCUUCAUGAAAAUGCUGGUGACAAAGUUGAGCGUGAAGAAGUAAUAGGGGGUGAUAUAAAACGUACCAUUCAUAAUUUGCUAUCUUCCAUAUCAAACAAUAAAAUAUCUGAAAGGGCUAAAAUCGAUGCCUCUGAGAGGGGAAAUGUUCAAUUUUUCACAACAUGCAUAGAAAUUGGAGCUUUGGAUUAUCUUAAACAACUCCAGAUGGAGUCAAAUGAAACACUGACAGCUAGGAAACAAGAAAGAGAGGAAGAAAUAAUUGGUGGCGAUGUGGAGGGUACAAAACUGUUACUAAAGAAAAGGCAGUCUCAUGUUGAACGUACUGUUUGUGAAACUGACGUCAUCCCAGGAGAUGUGCAGAAUACAGUUAAGGUUUUUAUGACAGAGCCUCAGACAACAUGUUGCAAGACCCCCAAAGAAGAAAUUAUAAAAGGUGAUUUGAAAUCAACUCUAAAUUCCCUCAGCCAGGCCACAAAUCAGAAAACAGUGGCAAAAACUGAAGAAAUUAUAAAAGGCGACAUGCUGACCACACUCGAAUCACUUAAGGAAUCAAACCACCAAUGGAAAGAAUCUAAACAGCCCAACGCCAUCCCUGGUGACAUUGAAAAAGCGAUUGAAUGCCUUGAAAAGACCGCGAACACAAGAACAGAAAUCCUGAAAAAGGAGCUUAUCCGAGAUGACCUUGAAAUAUCAUUAAGGAAUCUGAAAGAAGCAGAGAGAGCUUUCAAAGAGGUAGAUAAAAGAGCUGUAGUAAAAGAAAAUGUGAAAGGUGUGAUGGGAGGAUCCUCAGAAGAUCAGAAAACAAAGAUUCAUCAGGUGGCUGUCCAGAGGGACACAAGAAGUGUUCUUCAGCCAAGACCAGGACCAUUUGAGCCAGCAGCCAGGUGGCAAGGGAGAGCAGACGUUCCUAAUCAAACUACAGGCAAAUCUUAUCAUGGGAAUUUAAUAGAAGAAAGAACUGAAGUUACUCUCCCCAAAGCCCCCAAAGGCACUGUAAAGAUUGUCAUAGAUCGUGAACAGAACAAUGAUGCUCUUGAGAAAAGCCUUAGAAAACUAUCUAAUUCACACCACAAAGCUAUUAACAAUGUGCUGGAAUCAGGGGACAAAAUAGGCAUCUGGACUGAUACCACAACAGAGCAGCGUCUUAGUGAUGAACAUGUGAGCAGACAAUUGACUUCAACGGUGUCAGCUAAGGAAAAUCUAAAAACUAAGAAGUCAGAGACUGUGACAGAACAGAAGAAUGCUGUCUUUAACUCUAUCCAAUCUGUCGAUAAAACAGUGGAAAAGCAACAGACUCAAACUUGCAAACUGAGGAAUGACCACCAGAGGACUGAAUCUUUCUCUGUAAAGAGUUCUAAAAAUACCAAAACCACUAAAAUACCAACAGAUAAACAAAGCCUUAAGCCCAGCCCAACCCAGGGUCUGGUCAACAUGACAGUCGGGGAAACUUGUAAAGCUUCUGAGGACUUGCAGACACAAACUUUGUUAAAGCAAGAACUACAAUGUUCUAAUAAAUAUAUAAAGAAAAAGAACAUGAACCCUCAACCGACUUUGCCUACAGAUCAAGACGUAUCAGAUGUAACACAAGUGAAAGUCUCCCCCAAAAGUCAUAGUAAAUUUAAGGCAACUGACAAGAAGCAGGCUGAUGUUCAUCUGAAGAGCCAGGACUUUUUAAUGAAGACAAAUACUUCCACAGACUUAAAAAUGGCAAUGGAAAUGUCCUUUAAUUCAAUCAACGGCAACCCUGCAAAUAAUGGAAAAGAAAGUGAGUGCUCUCUUCCACCUCCAUCUCCACCUCCUCCUCCACCUUCCAAUGCGUCAUCUGAAAUUGAAUUUCCUCUUCCUCCUCCACCUCCUUUAAUGAUGUUGUCUGAAAAAAAUGCCCCAGAGAUGAUAAAGGCUGAAUUUGAAAGUUUCCCGGGCCUCCCUCUUCCUCCACCACCAGAAGUUGAUAAAUCUGAAAGAGAAUGUCUAUCAGCCUUUCUACCACCUCCCCCUCCUCCAACUCCAUCUCUUAAACCAGCGCAUCUCCUUUCCUCCUCUGUUCAAGAAAAGCACAGGGGAACAUUCAUACAAUAUUCUCAAGAAGCCUCGAGUUCUCAGCAAACUCAUUCUCAGGCUAAAGUCUUAAUGGGAAAAUCAGGAGUACUUUUACCACCUCCCACACUCCCUAAACCCAAAUUUCCCAAACAGAUAGAAGAUAAAAAGAAUCGCGGUUCCCCAAAAGUUGAGUUGGAAACUUCCCUGCCAGAUACGGAAUGUAAAAUUACUCCCUCAAAGGGUCAGGAAAGAGUAAUAAUGGCGACUAGCUAUGAACAGACAGAGAUGAAGAAGAACAUGUCUAGAAGAAGUCUAGAUGAAAGAAAAUUAUUUAUGGACACUAGGAGGUCUCUCUCACAGACAGUUCCAGAAACUUCACUACCCAAGGAAAAAACAAUGGCACCUCUUAUAAAAUCUCAUUCAUUCUCAGCAGAUUCAGGACAACAAAGUCCAAAACCGUAUAUGAGAAAAUUUAAGACACCUUUAAUGAUAGCUGAAGAAAAGUACAGACAACAAAGAGAAGAGCUUGAAAAACAGAAACUUGGGAGUUCUUGCUACAACAUAGUCAAAAGAGAAAGCCCCAAUCAAAAUAUGCCAGAGCUACAAAAGGAAGUACUGUUACAAAAAACAAAUGAGGAGGCUCCCCUACCUGGACUGGAUUCAGGGGUUCAACCUAACCCAGACUGCCAAAGUCAUUCUCAAGCCCGAGGAGUGUGUAUGGAUAACCAGCUUUCCACAACACAAGCGGGGACGGUCACCACCGAGGGGCUCCAACAUGUUCUAGCAGCCUCAGAAGAAAAAGCUACCAUGAAAAAGGAAGUUUUACAGAGCUCGUGGGACACGUUACAAUCUAUAUCAGCUUGUGAAAUUAAACAGAAGCACCAGGAGUAUAGUGCACAAGAAACACAACAGAAAUAUCUGGAGGACUUGCAUUUGCCCCAAAGAAAACCUGUUUCCCCAAGUUUCAAAGUUAAAACUAUCAAGCUUCCUACUGCAGAUCACAAAUCAAAUUUAGCAGACCACAUCUAUGAAAGCCACAGAAAGCAAUCCGACGUUGAUGUUCAAACCAUUAGCAAAGACCAGUACCAAAAAACCGAGAAAACUGAAGCAAGUGCUGACUAUAGUAACAAGCAAUCUGCAGCUGAAAAAUAUUAUCAAUUACCUAAGAAGGAGAAAAGAGUAACAAUAAAACUACCUACGGAACCCACAGAGAAAAGCCAUGAAAGGAAACUCAAUAUAGUUUCUGAGAAGCAAAGAGAAUUUAGAAAAUCUGAGAGUGGGAAACCUCCAGGAAGUGGCAGAACAAAUCAGGAACCAUCAACAAUUGGUCCAAAGGAAGAGAGACUAAUAGUUGAAAGAAAACAAGAACAUUUGCAUAAAUCAUCACAGAAGGUAGUCAAGCAAAAGGUUACUGAUGUACAUCUUGAUUCACAGACCCAGAAUUUUCAGCAAAUGCAAAUACAGACUUCUGGAAGUCAAGCUGAACAUAAAACAUUGCCCCAGCCAUCUAAUAAUCUGCAGGAAGAAAAAUGUCUGGGAGUCAAGGGCAUACCACAGAAACAAGUCUUUUCUAAUACUAAAGAUUCAAAGCAAGAGAUUACACAGAACAAAUCUCUGUUUUCCUCCGUGAAAGAAUCCCAGCAGGAUGAUGGAACGUGUGCUAUAAAUAUAGUGGAAUUCUUGAGAAAACGCGAAGAACUACAACAGAUUUUGUCUAGGGUAAAACAGUUUGAAGUGGAGCCAGAUAACAACGGCUUUAACACAUUUCAGACCCUGCUAAAUAUGAUUCCGGGGUGGCUAUUAAGUGAAGAAAAAAGACAAUAUGGUGUGUGCAUUGCUAUGGAGAACAACACAGAAAAAAUCAAAGAAGAAAUAACGCAUAUUAAAACGCAAGCAGAGGAGAUGCUUGGGUCCUGUGAGAAUAUAAUUCAGACAGCCAUGAUGUCCUCCCAAGCAGAAAAGCAGAGAAAUAAACCCACGGGCCUUAAUGAAACGUCAUCUGAACGGUCGAACGUUCGUGAACGGCGAGAAAAUACAAUCGUAGCAAAGACAGAGCCCCGCCGGGGAGCCGCUCAGCACGAAGCGGCCGCUCGCCAACACGUGAAAACCCAUCAGGAAAUCCGACUAGAGGACUGCAAGGUCCCUCCUCCGUCCUUGAAAACACGUCCACCGUCGCCAACUUUUAUCACAAUCGAGUCCACUGCCCGGCGGCCAGAAGCCUCUCCUAAGGACGAGCUCUCUCAGUCCCCGAGAAAAGAUGGUUUUGUGCCGGCUUCCCCGAGAAGCCCUGCGCCACAAACAUCCGGAGCUGGCCCUGCAAAAGCGUCCCCUUCUCCACCCAGGAGCCGCUCCGAGCAGCUCGUCAGACUCAAGGACACCACCGCCAAGCUAGCCAGAGGGGCCGCCCCGUGUCCUUCAGGGACCCCGGUUCCCCUAGUGGAGAGAAGAUCUGAGAUCAUCACGUCUCCUGCAACACUUCGGCGUCAAAUUAAGAUAGACACUCGUGGUAGGGACUCUCCCCCCACGAUCACCAUCCCUAUUAGUGUAAACCCUGUCGACGGCGGGUCCUUCCGAGGCUCCCGGGAAGCUCAAGAGGAAAUCAGGCAAGUCGAGAAGAUGGCGACCUACGUUCACCACGACGCCGGGAGCUCGGCGCCGCGCCGCCUGCCGGACGCGGAGAGCUUCGACUCGGUGGAAAUCGUCCGCACGGUGCAGGGGCCGCGGCGCGCCGAGCAUGCGCAGAGGCUCGACGCCGCCAGCCGCGCGGUCGGCCUGGCGGACAGUUUCCUGAGCGACCGCGAGAAGGAAAUAGACAGGUGGUUCCGCGAGUUCGAGGCUGGCCCGGUGUUCGAAGCGAAGUCGACCAGGAGAGUUUAUACAAACGGAGAGGCCGACCACAGCAUUAAGCAAGAAAGUCGCUCGUUCUGUAAGGAGGAAUAUGGAUCGACGUCUGUAGAAAACUCGAGUUUUACGGGCUUUUCUUGCAAUCGUGCUGGAGAGCUGCAAGAAAGCAUUCCCGUGAGGCAUCCCAGCGUCCGCUCCGAAACGAGGUCGGUCAGUGAAUGUUUCUCGGGGGUGGAUGCGUUUGAGGAUCGCGUCGUGGGGUCGACGAUGACCACGGUGUCUUCGUCACAUGGCUCAGAGGCUGGCAAAUCCGGCUUUGACUUCAAACAUGCCCCGCCGACCUACGAAGAUGUCAUCGCUGGCCAUAGUUUAGAUAUUUCUGAUUCACCUAAAGAGCUCAGGAGGAACUUUCAGAAGGCAUGGCAGGAGAGUGAAAGCGUGUUUCAAAGUCUGGGGUUUGAAACCUCAGAUGCUUCUGCCACUGAGAUGAGAACCACCUUCCAAGAGGAAUCUGCAUUCAUAAGCGAAGCUGCUACUCCAAGACAAGGAAAUAUGUAUACUCUGUCAAAAGACUGUUUAUCCAAUGGAGUGCCUAGUAGCAGACAAGCAGAGUUUCCAUAAGUCCUGCUUCCGAUGCCACCACUGCAAGAGUCAGCUGAGGGCCCUUGCACUCACUGGCUAAUGGAGAAGUUUGGGAAAUUAUGCAUCACUUCAUGGACAAAUAUAUUGUAAACCUCACUUUAACCAACUUUUCAAAUCU